rnacentral:rRNA from 1 species
AGAGUUUGAUCCUGGCACAGAACGAACGCUGGCGGCGUGCCUAACACAUGCAAGUCGUACGAGAAACACGUCCUUCGGGGCGUGGAGUAAAGUGGCGCACGGGUGAGUAACACGUGGGUAACCUGCCCUUGGAACCGGGAUAACUGGCCGAAAGGCCCGCUAAUACCGGAUAAGACUUCAUGAGCUUCGGCUCAUGCGGCCAAAGUCGGCCUCUCGAAGAAGCCGGCGCCUGAGGAUGGGCCCGCGGACCAUUAGCUAGUUGGUGAGGUAACGGCUCACCAAGGCCGAGAUGGUUAGCUGGUCUGAGAGGAUGAUCAGCCACACUGGAACUGAGAUACGGUCCAGACUCCUACGGGAGGCAGCAGUGAGGAAUAUUGCGCAAUGGAGGCAACUCUGACGCAGCAACGCCGCGUGGGUGAAGAAGGCUUUCGGGUUGUAAAGCCCUGUCAGGUGGGAAGAAACCUCUUCUAGUGAAUAGCUAGAGGAACUGACGGUACCACCAAAGGAAGCACCGGCUAGCUCCGUGCCAGCAGCCGCGGUAAGACGGAGGGUGCAAGCGUUGUUCGGAAUCACUGGGCGUAGAGCGCGUGUAGGCGGUUCGGUAAGUCGAGUGUGAAAGCCCGAGGCUCAACUUCGGAAGUGCAUUCGAAACUGUCGAGCUUGAGUACGGGAGAGGGAAGUGGAAUUCCUGGUGUAGAGGUGAAAUUCGUAGAUAUCAGGAGGAACACCGGUGGCGAAGGCGGCUUCCUGGACCGAUACUGACGCUGAGACGCGAAAGCGUGGGGAGCAAACAGGAUUAGAUACCCUGGUAGUCCACGCCGUAAACUGU